AUAUGAUGAUGUUUUGCCAUGCUAAUACUGAGAAGUCAUGUACAUAUAUAAAUUACGUAUAUGGAUUUCGCUGAGUUAAACUCUUAAAACAACUGAAAUC
rnacentral:snoRNA from 1 species